UACGUAGGGACCAAGCGUUGUUCGGAUUUACUGGGCGUAAAGGGCGCGUAGGCGGCGUGGUAAGUCAGUUGUGAAAUCGUCCGAGCUUAACUCGGAACGGCCAACUGAUACUGCUGUGCUAGAGUGCAGAAGGGGCAAUCAGAAUUCUUGGUGUAGCGGUGAAAUGCGUAGAUAUCAAGAGGAAUACCAGAGGUGAAGACGGGUUGCUAGGCUGACACUGACGUGAGGCGCGAAAGCCAGGGGAGCAAACGGG
rnacentral:rRNA from 1 species